rnacentral:rRNA from 1 species
GACGAACGCUGGCGGCGUGCUUAACACAUGCAAGUCGAACGGAAAGGCCCUGCUUUUGUGGGGUGCUCGAGUGGCGAACGGGUGAGUAACACGUGAGUAACCUGCCCUUGACUUUGGGAUAACUUCAGGAAACUGGGGCUAAUACCGGAUAGGAGCUCCUGCUGCAUGGUGGGGGUUGGAAAGUUUCGGCGGUUGGGGAUGGACUCGCGGCUUAUCAGCUUGUUGGUGGGGUAGUGGCUUACCAAGGCUUUGACGGGUAGCCGGCCUGAGAGGGUGACCGGCCACAUUGGGACUGAGAUACGGCCCAGACUGCUACGGGAGACAGCAGUGGGGAAUAUUGCACAGUGGGCGGAAGCCUGAUGCAGCAACGCCGCGUGCGGGAUGACGGCCUUCGGGUUGUGAACCGCUUUCGCCUGUGACGAAGCGUGAGUGACGGUAAUGGGUAAAGAAGCACCGGCUAACUACGUG